AUUGAACGCUGGCGGCAGGCCUAACACAUGCAAGUCGAGCGGAUGAAGAGAGCUUGCUCUCUGAUUUAGCGGCGGACGGGUGAGUAAUGCCUAGGAAUCUGCCUGGUAGUGGGGGAUAACGUUCCGAAAGGAACGCUAAUACCGCAUACGUCCUACGGGAGAAAGCAGGGGACCUUCGGGCCUUGCGCUAUCAGAUGAGCCUAGGUCGGAUUAGCUAGUUGGUGAGGUAAUGGCUCACCAAGGCGACGAUCCGUAACUGGUCUGAGAGGAUGAUCAGUCACACUGGAACUGAGACACGGUCCAGACUCCUACGGGAGGCAGCAGUGGGGAAUAUUGGACAAUGGGCGAAAGCCUGAUCCAGCCAUGCCGCGUGUGUGAAGAAGGUCUUCGGAUUGUAAAGCACUUUAAGUUGGGAGGAAGGGCAGUAAGUUAAUACCUUGCUGUUUUGACGUUACCGACAGAAUAAGCACCGGCUAACUUCGUGCCAGCCGCCGCUGUAAAAC
rnacentral:rRNA from 1 species